rnacentral:rRNA from 1 species
AAGGUUGACCUCGGAUCAGGGUAAGGAAUCCCCCAAU